GACGAACGCUGGCGGCGUGCUUAACACAUGCAAGUCGAACGGAAAGGCCCUGCUUUUGUGGGGUGCUCGAGUGGCGAACGGGUGAGUAACACGUGAGUAACCUGCCCUUGACUUUGGGAUAACUUCAGGAAACUGGGGCUAAUACCGGAUAGGAGCUCCUGCUGCAUGGUGGGGGUUGGAAAGUUUCGGCGGUUGGGGAUGGACUCGCGGCUUAUCAGCUUGUUGGUGGGGUAGUGGCUUACCAAGGCUUUGCCGGGUAGCCGGCCUGGGAGGGUGACCGGCCACAUUGGGACUGAGAUACGGCACAGACUCCUACGGGAGGCAGCAGUGGGGAAUAUUGCACAAUGGGCGGAAGCCUGAUGCAGCAACGCCGCGUGCGGGAUGACGGCCUUCGGGUUGUAAACCGAUUUCGCCUGUGACGAAGCGUGAGUGACGGUAAUGGGUAAAGAAGCACCGGCUAACUACGUG
rnacentral:rRNA from 1 species